rnacentral:rRNA from 1 species
CAGCGUGCAGGAUGAAAUCCCUCGGGAUGUAAACUGCUGUUAUAAGGAAAGAAAAAAUCAAAUAGGAAAUGAUUUGAUCUUGACGGUACCUUAUUAGAAAGCGACGGCAAACUAUGUGCCAGCAGCCGCGGUAAUACAUAGGUCGCAAGCGUUAUCCGGAAUUAUUGGGCGUAAAGCGUCCGUAGGUUUUUUGUUAAGUUUAAGGUUAAAUACUGAAGCUCAACUUCAGCCCGCUUUAGAUACUGGCAAAAUAGAAUUAUGAAGAGGUUAGCGGAAUUCCUAGUGUAGCGGUGGAAUGCGUAGAUAUUAGGAAGAACACCAAUAGGCGAAGGCAGCUAACUGGUCAUACAUUGACACUAAGGGACGAAAGCGUGGGGAGCAAACAGGAUUAGAUACCCUGGUAGUCCACGCUGUAAACGAUGAUCAUUAGUUGGUGGUAUUAAAUCACUAACACAGCUAACGCGUUAAAUGAUCCGCCUGAGUAGUAUGCUCGCAAGAGUGAAACUUAAAGGAAUUGACGGGAACCCGCACAAGCGGUGGAGCAUGUGGUUUAAUUUGAAGCUACGCGUAGAACCUUACCCACUC